rnacentral:rRNA from 1 species
UAUUGGUCAAUGGCCGGAAGGCUGAACCAGCCAAGUCGCGUGAGGGAAUAAGGCCCUACGGGUCGUAAACCUCUUUUGUCAGGGAGCAAGGCCGCCCACGUGUGGACGGAAGGAGAGUACCUGGAGAAAAAGCAUCGGCUAACUCCGUGCCAGCAGCCGCGGUAAUACGGAGGAUGCGAGCGUUAUCCGGAUUUAUUGGGUUUAAAGGGUGCGUAGGCGGCCUGCCAAGUCAGCGGUAAAAUUGCGGGGCUCAACCCCGUACAGCCGUUGAAACAGCCGGGCUCGAGUGGGCGAGAAGUAUGCGGAAUGCGUGGUGUAGCGGUGAAACGCAUAGAUAUCACGCAGAACCCCGAUUGCGAAGGCAGCAUACCGGCGCCCUACCGACGCUGAGGCACGAAAGUGCGGGGAUCAAACAGG